AUCCAUCUAACGAGUCCCAAAUAGGACGAAACGCGUGUCCUGGAU
rnacentral:hammerhead_ribozyme from 1 species